AACGAACGCUGGCGGCAGGCCUAACACAUGCAAGUCGAGCGAGGACUUCGGUCCUAGCGGCGGACGGGUUAGUAACGCGUGGGAACGUGCCCUUUGCUUCGGAAUAGCCCUGGGAAACUGGGAGUAAUACCGGAUGAGCCCUUUGGGGGAAAGAUUUAUCGGCGAAGGAUCGGCCCGCGUUGGAUUAGGUAGUUGGUGGGGUAAUGGCCUACCAAGCCGACGAUCCAUAGCUGGUUUGAGAGGAUGAUCAGCCACACUGGGACUGAGACACGGCCCAGAAUCCUACGGGAGGCAGCAGUGGGGAAUCUUAGACAAUGGGGGAAACCCUGAUCUAGCCAUGCCGCGUGAGCGAUGAAGGCCUUAGGGUUGUAAAGCUCUUUCAGCUGGGAAGAUAAUGACGGUACCAGCAGAAGAAGCCCCGGCUAACUCCGUG
rnacentral:rRNA from 1 species